CGUACACAUUACCAUGAAGACUCUUUCGUGUUACCAUAAAUAUAUAUAUAUAUAUUAUAUUACCAUAUACCCUUUUACAACGGUAUAUGGUAAUGAUUGGCAGAUAUAUUUCUAGCCACUUAGGGAGAAAUUCUCUAGGUUGUAUGCGCCAUAUCUCAUGAUGAGACGUUAUUUUGUUGCGUAUUGUCAAUUUGCCGUAACUUAAGAGACAUAAAGUUGGCUGUCGAUUUGUUCAUCACAUACGUAAAACGUUAUAUCUAUGUCUAAAGUUCUGUAAUGUAGUACAUUUGUUUAUAGGUUAUAAUGUGAUGCUGAUGUUAUUUUAUCCCGUUUCCAAUGUUCUUUCAAAUGUUUUUUGUCUACAGGAUCAUCGACGAAUAAUACAAAUUCCUUCAAUCCCUUUGAUAUCUUUAAAUGUCCAGGUGGUUUACUGUGUCCACUUAAGUGGGCGACAUUUUUUCCUUGGUUAUUCCCUGGAUUAAGGACUGCUGGCGAGGCUUUAAUCACAACGAUCGCAGCUAAUCGUACAAGCGGCUAACACAUUGUACAACCAGGAAGUAUCAAGUAAUCCUUCUGGCCGCCAAGAACAAUGUAAAGAAAGAUAAUAAACAAUUAUAUAUAUUUCCUGAA